GUAGGUGGCAAGCGUUGUCCGGAAUUAUUGGGCGUAAAGCGCGCGCAGGCGGGUCCUUUAAGUCUGAUGUGAAAGCCCACGGGCUCAACCGUGGAGGGUCAUUGGAAACUGGGGGACUUGAGUACAGAAGAGGAAAGCGGAAUUCCAAGCGUAGCGGUGAAAUGCGUAGAGAUUUGGAGGAACACCAGUGGCGAAGGCGGCUUUCUGGUCUGUAACUGACGCUGAGGCGCGAAAGCGUGGGGAGCAAACAGGAUUAGAUACCCUGGUAGUCCACGCCGUAAACGAUGAGUGCUAAGUGUUAGGGGGUUUCCGCCCCUUAGUGCUGCAGCUAACGCAUUAAGCACUCCGCCUGGGGAGUACGGCCGCAAAGGCUG
rnacentral:rRNA from 1 species